GGGUACUUUAUACUGUAAGUGUUUCUCAUUUCUUAUUCCCUGUCCUCACAUCUUAGAGGCAAAAGACCUACCAAGAUUUGAAAUUUCUUUUUCUCCUCUCAUACACAUGACUCUCUGUCCUUGCUCUUUGUUCUGCAUUAUCUUACGACAAAAAAAGAUUUAUUAUUUUGGAUCAAACUCAAAGCUGGGCCGUGAUAUCUGAAGGUACAGACUCUCAUACUUACAGAUAACAAAGCCUUUUACUGACAUUUUCAUCUCUCAAGCGUCCACCCUGGAGGGUAUGGAUCCUCCUAGAAGGGUGAGGCUCUCUGCACACUCCAGAUUGAGGACUUGAAGAAGCCGGUGGACCAUGAUGUUUGGAGAAUAAGAGUGGGAUUUCAGUGGAGUGAAGUUCAGGAGGCAUGGAGCUGACAGCGACGGUGCCACACAGCAACAGCAACAAGAGUAACUUUGACUUAGACACAAAAAUCCCGGGGAGAAAUGUGAUUGAUGGAGGAGACACCUGGAGUGCACCCCAUUCUGCAGAGAGGCCGGGCGAUGGGCAGACUGGAAA